CCCUGAACUGUCUGGGCUGGGGGACCUUUCUGACUUUUCUCUCGACAUGGAGUCUUCCCUUUGAGAGGUCACAGCCAGGCUGGUAGCCUCAGGGCAGGGUGGGAAGUGGUCCCCACAUCUGGUUCUUUGCCAGAGCUCCCCAUCUCCGUGGCUGGCACCACCACCCACUCAGCCGCUCUGCCUAGAGGUCAUGCUUAACAUUUCCCUCUCCCUCAUCUUCUUUUCCUGAUUUAUCACCAAAUCUUGAGGACUUUGCCUCUUCACAGUAUCCAGUCUGCCUCUCUACCCCCAUCUUCACCGCAGCCCCUCAUCCCAGGCCCCAUCUCCAGGCUGGACCAUCCUGACAGCAUCUUCUAGGACAUGCUCUGAGCUCCCCCAGGCCCACUGCCAUUCAAUGGCCUGGGCGGCUGCUUCGAAGCACAAAUGGGCGCCCUCCCUUCUCUCCUCUUGCCCUUGCCCUUGCCCUGCAGACCUCUCAGUGACAGCUCCUGCCCUGCCAUGAGCUGUGUAACUCACCGAAUCCCACAGCAAGCCCAUCAGGGAGGCGGCUCUGUGUGGGCCGCCAGGGAAGCAGGUGCUGGUACAGGUUGCAGUCCCAGGAAGCAGGGCAAGGCAGGUCAGGAGGGAAGCCUGCCCAGAGAGUGUUACUGUUGCAGGGGGUGCCCAGCCCCUCCAGGGCCCUGUGGCUGUGUAGAAGGCACCUUGACAAUAAGACGCAGGGCUGUUCUCCACUGACCCCAAUCCCACAAGUUGAGGUUUGUCCCGAAGGGUGGUGACUCCCCUCCACGUCCAGGC
rnacentral:lncRNA from 10 species